rnacentral:rRNA from 1 species
AUGUUGACAGCAACCAUUAAAAGUUGCAUGAAUUUCAAAGCAACAAUGGAUGAUGGAUGCAUACACGGAAUAUCAUGUGCAUGGCAGAUAAACCACUCUCAGAACGGAGUGCAUUUGCCGUCAUUGAACUUGUAUCGUGAGCACACUUUGGUCACUGUAAAAAUGCUGAUUUACAACCAAAGACUCAAUGAGCAGUGUUCAGCCAGAUGUGGAUAUGGGACGGAUAAUAAUGUCAAAAUGAAAAUUCUGUUUUCAUGGUUUUCAGCCAGAAAAGGUCUGUUUUCGCAGGAAAUUUUUCCAGUGACUAACGAUGAUCCUGACUCCCUGCUUGUUAAUUUCGCUGCCCUGUCUACCAUCGACACUGGUUGCCAAUCACACGGCUAUUUUAACAGUUAUUGCGACUCUGCCAAUAAGGCAAAAAUAAAAUCCAAGCUAGUAAUCGCUUUGGUGAGGAGGGAACCAACAAAUAAAAAGCAUACCAUAUAUAGACCUAACUGUAACAAUUUUCUGUUCCGAUUGAGGAUGCUUCACUAA